rnacentral:rRNA from 1 species
UGAGGAAUAUUGGUCAAUGGGCGAGAGCCUGAACCAGCCAAGUAGCGUGCAGGAUGACGGCCCUCUGGGUUGUAAACUGCUUUUAUGUGGGGUUAAAGUGCGUGACGUGUCAUGCAUUGCAAGUACCACAUGAAUAAGGACCGGCUAAUUCCACGCCAGAAGCCGCGGUAAUACGGAAGGUGCGGGCGUUAUCCGGAUUUAUUGGGUUUAAAGGGAGCGUAGGCUGUCUAUUAAGCGUGUUGUGAAAUUUACCGGCUCAACCGGUGGCUUGCAGCUGGAACUGGUCGACUUGAGUAUGCAGGAAGUAGGCGGAAUUCAUGGUGUAGCGGUGAAAUGCUUAGAUAUCAUGACGAACUCCGAUUGCGCAGGCAGCUUACUGUAGCAUAACUGACGCUGAUGCUCGAAAGCGCGGGUAUCAAACAGG